UGGAAUGUCAUCAUGGAAGCAUAUCUUUCUUGCAAGGAGUCAAAGCACACAAAUUCAUAGUAUCAGACUAUUCUCUGACAAAGGACAUUAUGUCAGUUCAAGGAAUAGUGUUUUAUCUCAAAUCAGGAAGGAUGUGAAUUUGCUCGUAGCUAAUAUGUAACUUCAACUAAAGAUGGAGUGAGCUGUUUCGAUAGUAAAGCUUCAUCAGAUAAGUGUUAGCUAUAGCAUCUGAAGCUCUCGCACUUGUAUGUCAAAACAAGGAGCUCUUUCUAUUCGUAAGAAGAGAAUUGGUGAGAGGACUACCUCAUCUGAAAUUCAUUAUGGAUGAAGAUUAUGAGGUAUGUUAAUAGGGAAGUCGAAGGAGCAUCGCAUAGAAGCAAAGAUAUGAUCAACAUUACUGAGCCGCUUCAGAUGAUACGUAUGGAUUUCUACGGAUCAGUUAAUGUCAUGUCUACAACAAAGCCAGAUAUCUUUUUGCGAUGAUCAUUGACUACUCUAGAUUCUUUCGUGUUGUUCGUAUGUGUUCGAAGGACAAGACGUCACAAAUGAAGGUUGAUCAAGAUGAACCCUGAUCAUUGAUAAAUCCAGAAAGACACCAUUCUUGUCAGUGGCCAAUCAGAAGCAAA
rnacentral:lncRNA from 1 species